rnacentral:rRNA from 1 species
AAUAAUGCAGUCGAGCGACAGACGGGGAGCUUGCUCCCCCGACGUUAGCGGCGGACGGGUGAGUAACACGUGGGUAACCUACCUAUAAGACUGGAAUAACUCCGGAAAACCGGGGCUAAUGCCGGAUAACAUGUUGGACCGCAUGGUCCUACAGUGAAAGACGGUCUUGCUGUCACUUAUAGAUGGACCCGCGCCGUAUUAGCUAGUUGGUAAGGUAACGGCUUACCAAGGCAACGAUACGUAGCCGACCUGAGAGGGUGAUCGGCCACACUGGAACUGAGACACGGUCCAGACUCCUACGGGAGGCAGCAGUAGGGAAUCUUCCGCAAUGGGCGAAAGCCUGACGGAGCAACGCCGCGUGAGUGAUGAAGGCCUUCGGGUCGUAAAACUCUGUUAUUAGGGAAGAACAAAUGUGUAAGUAACUAUGCACGUCUUGACGGUACCUAAUCAGAAAGCCACGGCUAACUACGUGCCAGCAGCCGCGGUAAUACGUAGGUGGCAAGCGUUAUCCGGAAUUAUUGGGCGUAAAGCGCGCGUAGGCGGUUUCUUAAGUCUGAUGUGAAAGCCCACGGCUCAACCGUGGAGGGUCAUUGGAAACUGGGAAACUUGAGUGCAGGAGAGGAAAGUGGAAUUNCAUGUGUAGCGGUGAAAUGCGCAGAGA